rnacentral:lncRNA from 1 species
GACCAAUGAAACAUUUCCAUCGCUGAUCACUGUGACUAAGGGGUUGAGCUCUAAUAUAUUAUGCAUGCAAUUGAUAGGCAUCUAUAGGAUUAUAAUCUCCAACACCUGAAUAGAAACCCUGCAUCUAAUACCUUUCCAAUAAGUUACACCCCCAAAUCAUCUUGUUAGUCGAGAAAUAGAUUUGCUCAAUUAGGAUUGCUAUUUACUUUAAAACCAUAAAACAACAAACAUUUAGAAUUAAUAAAUUACUAGAUUUAAUAGGUUCCCUAACUCCUUGUGGAUUUGAUCCCUAAGUACUACAAUUGAACCUCUUAUUUGAGAGAGUAAUUCACACCUUAGCGUAAUUUGAGUGGUAUCAAAUUUGGCACCGUUGCUGGGGAGCUUUGAUCGCCAUUAGAUUUAGCGUUAUUAAUUCUUUUCUUUUUCUUUACCCCCAUUCUGACACAAAACGUUUUCUUGUCUUUUCAAGUGCAUGCCCAGCAGUACAAGAAGCAAAAAGGAAAAACACCUGCUAUUCUCAGAAGAUCCUGCUCACCUGGAACACACGAUCCGCAAAGGUCAACGUUCCACAUCGCUCGAUGCAGCAGCUUUCACGUCGACUGAUUCUCGCAC